GGGGAUGCACUUGGUUUCGACGGGAAGAACGAUGCGUUAAACUGCAUGCCGUGCCUGGCGCAAGCACGUAAAUCUUACGCUAAUUGGUAUAACUGCCAACUACGAUUACGCACUGGCUGCGUAAAUAACCCAGCCACGUCCCCCGGAAGCCUGCCUGUAGACUGAAGGUGUGGACGACGCUAAUAACAGGCUAGGUUCCCAAGUGUCCGGGGCGGGAGCCGAAAUUUUUCUCCGGACUAGCGAUAAGACGCGUCCUGUCUGUCGGAUAGUCUUUUCGCGAACCUUUAAAGACAGACUACGCAUGUAGUACGUUUACCGUGCGUCUUUUCGGACGGGGGUUCGAUUCCCCCCAUCUCCACCC
rnacentral:tmRNA from 1 species